CUACGUGCCAGCAGCCGCGGUAAUACGGAAGGUCCGGGCGUUAUCCGGAUUUAUUGGGUUUAAAGGGAGUGUAGGCGGUCUGUUAAGCGUGUUGUGAAAUUUAGGUGCUCAACAUUUAACUUGCAGCGCGAACUGUCAGACUUGAGUACACGCAGCGCAGGCGGAAUUCAUGGUGUAGCGGUGAAAUGCUUAGAUAUCAUGAGGAACUCCGAUCGCGAAGGCAGCCUGCGGGAGUGUUACUGACGCUUAAGCUCGAAGGUGCGGGUAUCGAACAGGAUUAGAUACCCUGGUAGUCCGCACGGUAAACGAUGGAUGCCCGCCGUUGGUGCCCUGCGCCUGCGGCCAAGCGAAAGCAUUAAGCAUCCCACCUGGGGAGUACGCCGGCAACGGUGAAACUCAAAGGAAUUGACGGGGGCCCGCACAAGCGGAGGAACAUGUGGUUUAAUUCGAUGAUACGCGAGGAACCUUACCCGGGCUUGAAUUGCAGUCGCUGCCCACAGAGACGUGGGCUUCCUUCGG
rnacentral:rRNA from 1 species